UACGUAGGGGGCGAGCGUUGUCCGGAUUUAUUGGGCGUAAAGAGCGUGUAGGCGGCCAGGUAGGUCUGCUGUGAAAACUCGAGGCUCAACCUCGAGACGUCGGCGGAAACCAUCUGGCUAGAGUACGGAAGAGGAGAGUGGAAUUCCUGGUGUAGCGGUGAAAUGCGCAGAUAUCAGGAAGAACACCCGUGGCGAAGGCGGCUCCCUGGGCCGGUACUGACGCUGAGACGCGAAAGCGUGGGGAGCGAACAGG
rnacentral:rRNA from 1 species